UCAAAAUUACUCACGCUCAUCAUUGAUUUAUUUUCCCCAAGUUAAUAAACACCUACUAAAUAAAGCGCUCUAAUACACUCAUACUAUCACUAAAUAGCCUACUCUCUAAGCGCUCAUGCCGCUCUGCUGCUCUCGAAGCUAAACAUUCUCACCUGCAUUGUCUGUCACAUCGUGCGCGCAGUGAAGUCACGACAGCGCUUAAUUCCUAUGCAUGGCUUUGUGUUUCAAGCACUUACUUCGCCAAAGGGGGUAGUGUGUAAGUGAACCGCUCAUGGCUUAUUGUCCGGGAAUUCGCAAGUAAAUUCUCUUUCACAUAACCAAAAUUCUGUUUGUGAAGUAUUCGCUUAACUACCGACAGUCAAUCGAACAUACGUACAGAUGCUUUAUAGCUUCAUCAAUUCUGCCAAACAAAGUUAAACACAAUCAAAAAUCGGCAACAAAAAAAGAAGAAUCGGCAAAACAGACCUUUAAAGACAAACUUCGGCACAUCUGCCCAAAAACUAUAUAUGUAUAUGAGCAUGUAUAUGCCUGUGUGUGGAACUUUAAAGUUAUACGAGUCUACUUUUUUGCGAUUUUGCGGAAUUCAUGUUUGCCAGUGCCGCUUGUGUGCUUUUAUGCUGUUGAACUGCGGUCACAUCGUGCUUUUUCGUUUUUGAUUGAUUGUUUUUUCAUUCUCUUUUGCUUUUCAUUUUUUACUUUGCUUGGUUGUUCGCUAUUUGCUGCUGUGUUCUGAGUUUUAUUUGCUUAACAAGCCAUACUUUAGUUGAUGAAGUACCUUUUUGUGUGCGAAGAGUGUGCGAUUCCUUUGAAUGUAAGUUCAAUUGAGGUUUUUGCAACAAAUAAAUGAACACGCACAAACAAAUACAACAAGAUAUAUAUAUAAAGUAAUACAACAACAUUUGAAUGAAAUUUAAUUUUCAAAUAAAAAUAAAUGUAUUUUAUCGGUUCUUAUUAUAAUAAAACAUUCGUGCUUCAAGCUCAUCAAUUAUCAACUUUCGAUAGCACUUUGGUGCUCUGGCAUCAGCUCUUUCAAAGAAUUUUAUAUUUUCGUGUGUAGAACUCAUUAAAUUUUAGUUUACAAGUAAACAAUGCAUGUGGAUUUCUAAUUGUCUUUUUUUAAUUUGUUUGAGCCGAUACUCUUUUAAUAGGUAGAGGUCCGGUGAUUUCAAGCUUGGACGAACAUAUGUAUGUAUAUAAUCUUCCAGACUAGAUACAUCUCAGUAUUUAGCACAAUUAUUUUGGGGAAAGGAAUUAUUCUUUUCAUGCUUCCUUUUCAUAGAAAUAAAUGUUGGAUCAUAUAGAGACUCUGGAUCGCAAUUCCGCUGUUACUAAUCGCAAUUAGAAGAAACAAAACUAGUGGCACUUUACACUGGCCACUGCAGUCUAAGGCGUCAGCUGAACAAACUCGGGAUCUACGCUCUGCGGACCUGUGCAGAUUCGGUGACCUUUGGAAGCGGAAACACCUGAACACCUACUCCUGGAAUGUCACGCGAUUGCGGGAUUAAGGAGGCAGGCAAAGGGGUCUCUAUAUCCACAAAGGGAAAGUAUCGCGACCACCAGCCCUGCAGCGUUACUCUGUUUUCUUGGAGCUACAUAACUGGACGGUAUUCUUUGAUGAAUAGGAGAAGGCACAAUAGACCGUAGGGUGCAGUGCGUUCCUUUAACAAAAUCUAAUGUAUUCUAAGAGAUCUCUUCAUACUAUAGCUUUGAAUAAGAUAAAAUGGUUAAAGAAAAGGUCAUUAGUGAUCAAAAGGUCAUUAAUAAAGUUACUGAAAAUGUU